rnacentral:lncRNA from 1 species
UUCGUGGUAACACCGGAUUUGCGUAAUCAAGUGCUCAAUUUAUUGUCAAAUUCGGUGCACUCCCUCCGACUCUUUCUCUUAUUUAAUAUUUUAGUUGCAUAUUUGAUUAUAUUUUAAUUUUUACAAUAUGUUUAAUACUGCUAAAAGAUCGUGUAGAAAAGUUACUGGUAGGGGUGGAAGUAAAAAAGAGGUAGUCCUGUAGCUUCUGGUAGUAAUAGUAAUGACCCAAUAACACAUGUUUCUGAAUCAUCGCCUAAUUUGCAAGAUGUAGAGAUUGAUU